rnacentral:tRNA from 1 species
UCCCUGGUAGUCCAGUGGCUAAGACUCUGCCCUCCCAAUGCAGGGGGCACAGGUUCAACUCCUGGUCAGGGAA